rnacentral:rRNA from 1 species
GACGGAGGGGGCAAGCGUUGUCCGGACUUACUGGGCGUAAAGGGCCCGUAGGCGGCCUGGUGCGUCGGUGCUGAAAGCGCCCCGCUUAACGGGGUGAGGCGUGCCGAUACGACCAGGCUCGAGGCAGGCAGAGGGUGGCGGAAUUCCGGGUGUAGUGGUGAAAUGCGUAGAGAUCCGGAGGAACGCCUGUGGCGCAAGCGGCCACCUGGGCCUGACCUGACGCUGAGGGGCGAAAGCGUGGGGAGCGAACCGGAUUAGAAACCCCCGUAGUCC